GAUGAAGAACGCAGCGAAAUGCGUUACUUGGUGUGAAUUGCAGAAUCCCGUGAACCAUCGAGUUUUUGAACGCAAGUUGCGCCUCAAGCCAUUAGGUUGAGGGCACGUCUGCCUGGGCGUCACAUAUCGUUGCCUGAUGCCAGUUUCCUCGUGAUGGGUGACUGUGCAGGGCGAAUGAUGGCUUCCCGUGAGCAUUGUUGCCUCAUGGUUGGUUGAAAAUUGAGUCCUUGGUAGGGAGCGCCGUGAUAGAUGGUGGUUGAGUGACGAACGAGACCCAAUCAUGUGAGACCCCUACCGAAUUUGGCCUUCAUGACCCACAUGCGUCUUUGGAACGCUCAUGACGAGACCUCAGGUCAGGCGGGGCUACCCGCUGAGUUUAAGCAUACCAAUAAGCGGAGGA
rnacentral:misc_RNA from 1 species